UACGUAGGGUGCAAGCGUUGUCCGGAAUUAUUGGGCGUAAAGAGCUCGUAGGCGGUCUGUCGCGUCGGAUGUGAAAAUCCAGGGCUCAACCCUGGACCUGCAUUCGAUACGGGCAGACUAGAGUUCGGCAGGGGAGACUGGAAUUCCUGGUGUAGCGGUGAAAUGCGCAGAUAUCAGGAGGAACACCGGUGGCGAAGGCGGUUCUCUGGGAAUGACCUGACGCUGAGGAGCGAAAGUGUGGGGAGCGAACAGG
rnacentral:rRNA from 1 species